UACGAAGGGGGCUAGCGUUGCUCGGAAUCACUGGGCGUAAAGCGCACGUAGGCGGCUUUUUAAGUCAGGGGUGAAAUCCUGGAGCUCAACUCCAGAACUGCCUUUGAUACUGAGAAGCUUGAGUCCGGGAGAGGUGAGUGGAACUGCGAGUGUAGAGGUGAAAUUCGUAGAUAUUCGCAAGAACACCAGUGGCGAAGGCGGCUCACUGGCCCGGUACUGACGCUGCGGUGCGAAAGCGUGGGGAGCAAACAGG
rnacentral:rRNA from 1 species